rnacentral:lncRNA from 1 species
AUGGCAAUGUUGGCUCGAGCAUCGGUUCACUGCUGCAGGACGAAACACAGGGCCUGCUGCAACUGCUGCACCGGAAAGAAGAGCCGAAAUGAGUCACUUGUGAAUCACCGCUUGUUUCCCGUCCUGAGCUCAUCUACAAUCUCAUGGCGAUCAAACGGCCUUUUACAACGUGUUAAUGCAUGGCUAUGCUGCCCCAGCAUCCAGCAGAGCCCCCCUCAUUUGCAGGAGGCCAGGACAGUCUCUCCCAGCGAAUCAGCAGUGCUUUUCAGGUGCAGGAAUGGAAGAAGGCACAAAAAGCUCAUUGUCAGUUUAAGGCUCUGGGUGAAGGUGCAAGAGGACAACACUGGAUUUGAAGGAGGGUGGAUAGUGCGUGCAGUCAGACUGUUGCCCAUCAUAUCCAGGCUGUCUUCAUAG